GAUUCAGUCUGGUGGCGCGGAGCGUGCUGGUCGGAAAAACAGAGCAGGGAUUCCCCGAACGGGGUCCGUCCGGCCGCRCGAAUCUCUCGCCACCCGACGCAUUUGUCUUCCGCCCGAAGGACGCCGCAGCCGGUUGGGUAGCUGCAAGCGCGACGGCCAGGAGGGCGGACGAUGGCAGGUGGCCGGYGGCGGGGCUCGUCCCCUUCGCCGGUUGUUAGCCGGUCCGCCAGUGGCUCGUCACCCGACCGAGGUGUCACUAGGCCYUUCGGGGCUGCAACGUUUCCUCCUCUGGAAGUCGGGACAGAGCGUCGCAGGCGAAUCCCGCCGCGAGGUCGCACUCCCGAGAGUGGACCACCGAGCGGGGCGCACCGCUGGCGACGCCGGACCCGUCGGAGGCCGGAGGCUGGCGGCGAGUAGGUCGGUCACCCACCCGACCCGUCUUGAAACACGGACCAAGGAGUCUAACAUGUGCGCGAGUCAAUGGGUCUUGAACAGGCCCAUGGGCGCAAUGAAAGCRAAGGUCGUCUCAGCGGCGACCGAGUUGGGAUCCGGUCUCCCCCGCGGAACCGGCGCAUCAACGACCCGUCCUAUCCGGCUCGCCGGUUGGGUGGAGUGUGAGCGUACACGUUGGGACCCGAUAGAUGGUGAACUAU
rnacentral:rRNA from 1 species